GACGAACGCUGGCGGCGGGCUUAACACAUGCAAGUCGAACGGAAACGCCCUGCUUUGGUUGCGUUCGCUGGUGGCGAACGGGUGAGUGGGACGUGAGUAACCUGCCCUUCACUUUAUGAUAACUUCAGGAAACUGGGGCUAAUACCCGAUAACAGCUUCUCCUCCAUGGUGGGCAUCGGAAAGUUUCGGCGGUUGUGGAUGGACUCGCGGCUUAUCAGUUUGCUGAUGUGGUUGUCGCGGACCAAGGCUUUGACGGGUACGCUGCCUGAGAGUGUUACCGGCCACCGUGGGACUGAGAUACGGCCGAGAGUAGUAAGGGAGGCAGCAGUAGGGACUAGUGCACAAUGCGGCGAAGUAUGAUGCAGGAAGGCCGCGUGAGGGAUGACGGCCUGCGGGUAGUAAACCGCUUUGGGCUGUGACGAAGAGUGAGUGACGGUAAUGGAUAAAGAAGCACCGGCUAACUCCGUG
rnacentral:rRNA from 1 species